rnacentral:rRNA from 1 species
CCCUUAGAUGUUCUGGGCCGCACGCGCGCUACACUGACGAAUGCAACGCGCUUAUAACCUUGGCCGAAAGGUCUGGGUAAUCUCCAAAUUUCGUCGUGAUGGGGAUAGAUUAUUGCAAUUAUUAAUCUUCAACGAGGAAUGCCUAGUAAGCGCAAGUCAUCAGCUUGCGUUGAUUACGUCCCUGCCCUUUGUACACACCGCCCGUCGCUCCUACCGAUUGAAUGGUCCGGUGAAGCGCUCGGACCGCGGCCUCUUGACGGUUUUCCGUCGAUUGGCUGUGGGAAGUUCGUUAAACCUUAUCAUUUAGAGGAAGGAGAAGUCGUAACA